rnacentral:lncRNA from 1 species
CACCUAUUGAAUAAGGUUUCAUCAAAGUCCGUUUCUACCACACCGUAUGAGAUAUGGUUUGAUAAGAGUUGAGUCUAAGUUAUCUUAAGAUUUGAGGAUGUCCGACCUAUAUCAAGAGACAGAUGGCUGAUAAACUAGAGGAUAAAUCUGUAGUAGCUCGUUUCAUAGGGUAUCCAAAAGAAUUCAUAGGAUACAACUUCUACUUUCCACA